UACGUAGGGUGCAAGCGUUAAUCGGAAUUACUGGGCGUAAAGCGUGCGCAGGCGGCUAUGCAAGACAGAUGUGAAAUCCCCGGGCUCAACCUGGGAACUGCAUUUGUGACUGCAUAGCUAGAGUACGGUAGAGGGGGAUGGAAUUCCGCGUGUAGCAGUGAAAUGCGUAGAUAUGCGGAGGAACACCGAUGGCGAAGGCAGUCCCCUGGACCUGUACUGACGCUCAUACACGAAAGCGUGGGGAGCGAACAGG
rnacentral:rRNA from 1 species